rnacentral:rRNA from 1 species
UACGAAGGGGGCUAGCGUUGCUCGGAAUCACUGGGCGUAAAGGGUGCGUAGGCGGGUCUUUAAGUAGGGGUGAAAUCCUGGAGCUCAACUCCAGAACUGCCUUUGAUACUGAAGAUCUUGAGUUCGGGAGAGGUGAGUGGAACUGCGAGUGUAGAGGUGAAAUUCGUAGAUAUUCGCAAGAACACCAGUGGCGAAGGCGGCUCACUGGCCCGAUACUGACGCUGAGGCACGAAAGCGUGGGGAGCAAACAGG